GACGAACGCUGGCGGCGUGCUUAACACAUGCAAGUCGAACGGAAAGGCCCUGCUUUUGUGGGGUGCUCGAGUGGCGAACGGGUGAGUAACACGUGAGUAACCUGCCCUUGACUUUGGGAUAACUUCAGGAAACUGGGGCUAAUACCGGAUAGGAGCUCCUGCUGCAUGGUGGGGGUUGGAAAGUUUCGGCGGUUGGGGAUGGACUCGCGGCUUAUCAGCUUGUUGGUGGGGUAGUGGCUUACCAAGGCUUUGACGGGUAGCCGGCCUGAGAGGGUGACCGGCCACAUUGGGACUGAGAUACGGCCCAGACUCCUACGGGAGGCAGCAGUGGGGAAUAUUGCACAAUGGGCGGGAGCCUGAUGCAGCAACGCCGCGUGCGGGAUGACGGCCUUCGGGUUGUAAACCGCUUUCGCCUGUGACGAAGCGUGAGUGACGGUAAUGGGUAAAGAAGCGCCGGCUAACUACGUG
rnacentral:rRNA from 1 species